AUCGACCGGCUGGAGAGCACAAGACUCCGGCCCGCAAGUGGAGGCUCCGAACUCCCACCUGACGGCCCUCUGGGCCGCGGGUCAACGGUCAGGCUGCGCCCCGCGGUUCACGCGUCGGUGCUCCAGGUCUUUGAGGAGCCACCGCCUGUGUCCGUCAGGGGCGUUUUUG
rfam:Streptomyces nanshensis strain SCSIO 10429 scaffold377, whole genome shotgun sequence.